rnacentral:rRNA from 1 species
GACAGAGGAUGCAAGCGUUAUCCGGAAUGAUUGGGCGUAAAGCGUCUGUAGGUGGCUUUUUAAGUCCGCCGUCAAAUCCCAGGGCUCAACCCUGGACAGGCGGUGGAAACUACCAAGCUGGAGUACGGUAGGGGCAGAGGGAAUUUCCGGUGGAGCGGUGAAAUUCGUAGAUAUUCGCAAGAACACCAGUGGCGAAGGCGGCUGUCUGGUCCGGUUCUGACGCUGAGGCGCGAAAGCGUGGGGAGCAAACAGG